rnacentral:misc_RNA from 1 species
GCACGAACACAGCGGCGACACCAGCACCUGUUCGCGGGGUUUACCCUCAAAACAGUAGCCGUCUCCGUAUCCCUCUCUUUUGCCCCCCCUCUCUCUCUCUCUGCGCCUCGGAAGUUUUGCGCAAAGUACUUGGCGAGCUUUCUCUUGCCCCUCUCCGUAUCCUCAGCAGCAACUCCCCUCGCUUCUCCUCUUCCAUAAGGCACAUAAGGCAACCACAUUCAUAACAGUGCGUAUUUGUGGCUGCAAGGCGCACGAAUACAAGCGAAAAAAAAAAUAACCAGUGGAAACGGCCGAAGCUUCAACCGAAUACGUUUGGCAUUGUCCUCAACUGUCUCGACGCAUUUCGAUUCUUCGACGCUGCGUUGUGCUCCCCACCCACCCCCCACCCCCCGCUGCCGUCAGUGUUAUGCUCCUCCUCUUGUUUACCUUCACGUUCGUGUGAGCUCACCUUUGUGCUUGUGUGUGUGUGCGUGUAUGUGAGGGCCUUCUGCCUCCUUUUUCUCGGUGCAUUUUGUAGUUUGUCUUCUUGGAGAUUCUUCUUCUCGUUCCUCUGCGCUUUCUGUGCUCUGUUUCUGUCCUCUCUCCAUCCCUCUGCCUCCCCUGGAACGUUACUGAGCGCGUUUCUUUUUCGUUUUUUUUUGUGUAUACUUUUUUACGGUGUGUCUUUCUUAGUCCAGUCGGUAGUGUUGCGCUGUAUUUGUGUGUUGCCAUUUUUGUGGUUGCUGAGGGGGGGCUCUGUGUGCCCGUGGAAAUACGCCUUGUUGCCUAACAUAUAUAUUACACACACACAUAUAUAUAUAUAUACGCAUAUUUCUUUUUCGUUUUCCCUCUCCCCCCUCUCCACUCCAGUCCGGUCAUACCUAGCCACCCACAAGGCCCCUCGUUCUUCCCUUCAGCCCUUUUUUGCUGCGUUCGUGGGGAUUUGGUGUUUUGUUUUUCCUUCCUUACGCUUCUUCUUUUUAAAUUUUACUUCGGGCGGGAAGGGGUCGCUCUCCGCAUCUGAAACGCCCCCUCCCCUCCCCACACACACGCACACACAUAGCCACCCUCCUCUCCCGUGUGCGUGGAGCUCCCUCUUUUUUACUGUGUUUGUACGGCCCGCCUCCUUUUUUUACCUCGUGGGUGUUGGUGGUGGUGUGCGUUUGUUUUACUGUGUAUGUAUAUUUUUUUUUUGUUGUUGGGGGAAGGAAGGCAGGCAGGGGUCUCUUGACCUUCUCUCGUAAGCUUCGCUUUUUUUGUUAUAGCAGUGUUGUCUUCUCGCACGUUCGCAGACACACACGCACACGCACAUCUUUCAAAAAUACACACAAAAAAAAAACGAGCUCUCUCUAAGUAUAUAACAGCCGUUGUAGCUUAUUUUUCUUGUGUGUGUGUGUACGUGUGCGCGUGUGCUUUCUUCGCUCCAGUUAAAAUAACAAGUGUGCUCGCCGCCGCCACCGUCACCACCACCCACUCUUCAUCUCGUCUCCUCCGCUGGUGUUCUCCUCGCGUGCUUUUAUUUUUGAUAUUUUUAUCGCUAAAUGAUCUUUUUUGUUGUUUGUUUUGUUGUCGUUUCGUGUUUCAGCGGUGGACUGCACCUACGCGGCUCUCCUCCCGGCAUCGUCAGCAGCCCAUCUAACCACGUUCUUCACACUGGCAGAUCGAAAAAAGAAAACGCAUCACACACACACACACAAGCACCUUUCUCCAUCCCCUUCUCCCUCCUCCCUGCUUUACUCACGGCGCUUCUCGUCUUACAUCUGCGUUUAGAAUUUACCUUAUAUAUAUAUAUUUGUUUUGUUGCGUGUGUACUCUUCCUCGUCGUCUAGUGGUGUGUGCGCGUGCGCGUUUUGGUUUUUCUUCUUUUUGUUCGCCAGCGUGUCUCUACUCCAUUGUUAGCUUGCCUUGAUUGAGUGCGCCCCUUCGUGUCGGCUACUCACCCCAGCCACUGCCACCGAUCCACCAUCCAUCCCUCCCUCCCCACAUUGACCUUUCCGUCUCUCUGUCGCUAUCGUUCUACUCCCUGUGGCGCUUUCUCGCAUACUUCAAUUAAGCCGUUGCGCUGUGCUUCGAGAAGAAGAUAAGCUAAAGCAAAAAAAAAAACAAGGCAGCUCCUAUCGUGCCAGUGCUUGUGUAGUUUCUCUCUUUCCUUCGCGAAUCGCACGUGACUCUUUUUUUUUCUUUGCCCUCCCCCCUCGCCUCACCCGCCGUCCUCUGUGCCCCUUGAUGUUCGAGAUGCUCAAUCCAUUCCAUUACCUUGACGACUUCCGUGGCGAUGUCGUGUGCGCGUGGAUGCGCGCAAACCUGGAGAUUCCCUCCGUCGUCACCGUGCUCUACAUUGUGAUGGUGCUGUACGUGCCGCGCACCUUCAUGAAGCACCGCCCUGCGUACAAUCUUCGCGCUCUGAACCUCAUUUGGAAUUUGGGUCUGUCGCUCUUCUCCUGCUGCGGCGCCUAUUACUGCCUUCCAGAGGUGUUCAAGUCGCUGUUCGUCUCUGAGUUCACUGUGAGAAAUUUCUCAAAAGGUGGAACGGUCACCCUGCACGGCAGCUUCUACAAGGGUGUGUGCGGGUUGAACGCCGAUCUGUUCUGCGAUGGCCCCGUCGGCGCCUUCGUAUGCCUCUUCGUCCUCAGCAAGAUCCCUGAGAUGCUCGACACCGCCUUCCUUGUCUUUCAGAAGAAGCCCGUCAUCUUCCUCCACUGGUAUCACCACGUCACCGUCAUGCUGUACUGCUGGCAUUCGUACGCCAUGAAGAUCUCCGGUGGCCUCGUGUUCGCUGGCAUGAACUACGGCGUGCACUCCAUCAUGUACUUCUACUUUUUCAUCUGCUCCUGCGGGUACCGGAAGUACGUGCGUCCCUUCGCCCCGCUCAUCACCUUCCUCCAGAUUGCGCAGAUGGUGGUGGGGAUGUUCACCGAGGUCUACACGUUAUACCACAUGUAUGUAUCUGGAAAGGGGUGUCAGUCGAACGGGACGAACGCACGCGUCGGGCUGAUGAUGUACAUGUCCUACUUUGGCCUCUUCAGCAGACUCUUCUACGAUAGCUACCUGAGCAGAGGCAAGAAACAUGGCAACACGGAGGCCUCCGCAGGGACUGGCCACAAGCGCAAGCGCCUCUUGUGUACUGGGCAAGCUGUGGCCACCGUUGAGGGGGCCUCUGACGACACCCGGAACUCUGAUGCUGCGCCCUCGAUGCUGCCCAAGCGGGUGCCCGAUGUAUACCAGCUGAAGAGGCGUCACUAAUGCAUAAAGGUCGGAAAGAACAAUGACAGGAACUGCGAACUCGCCACACGCUAUCCAGAUCGUGAAAUCCUGUGAGCGCGCUUACGCCAACGCAUGUUCGGAUCCGUUUCAGCAGAGAGGCGAGCUACAAACACGCGACUCUCUCCGCUUCGUCGCACGAACACGUUGGCGCAAGUCCUCAUCCGCACGCAUCCGCAACGCACAUGUGCACACAAACACCCUCACAAAAAGGUACAUUUCACGAUCUUCUCCUUUUAUCUCCUUUCCGCUCAGCCGAGCAGCCCCUUCGCCGUGCCAGCCACCGCGCCACUUCCGGUGGUGACAGUGUCGAGCACCUACGACGUAAGGGUGUGGGCUCCGUGCGAUUUAGCGCCACUGAGGUUGGCGGUGAGGCCGUGGGAUGGCGUUGCGUUGGAGCUGCAUGCGACCGUGAACACGUUUGCACGAUUCGUAUGAUGGGUAAAGCGUCUGCGCGACUCCAACGUACGCCACGCGGCCAUGGCUGCCUACCGGUGCCGGGAGCCUGUGCCGCGCCGAGAGGGGGGAGGGAUGCAGCACGUGCGCCCGGCAUGAUGGGGGAGCGGCUGUGAGGCGACCUGCGAGGCGGGCGGGUAGCGCUGGAGGCAGGGGCCGUGCUCCGAUGGCCGGGUCGGCAUUUUGCUGUAAGGCGUGUCCACCGGCUGCCUCGCACCACGCGAUGGGGCCUGUGACGGGCCGGGGGGAGGGGGUAGGAGUGGCGUGUCACCCUGGUUGCACGGCGGAGAACGGACACGUUGAAAAGGCCGUUCUCCUGUCGGUCUGUCGAGGUGCGCAUCGCUCUAGCGCAAGCCCUGACUUCCUUACCGGUGUUGUGCGUGCGCGCUGCAGACUCCGCCACCCCUCUCCCUGUUCGGCUGUCUCUCUCUUUGUGUGUGUGUGUGUGUUCGCCGUUGGAAGGUCUCAUUCGCCGCGGUUGACCGCUGUUUUUCUGUCUCCGUUUCCUUUGACGGUGCCGUUUUCUGGUCCCGGUGUAUGGAGGACGCGGCGUGGGCUGUGAGGUCGCUCUCCAUGUUUGCAUGUGUGUGUGUGUGUGUGUGUAUGUGUAGACGGAGGGGGUCGUUUCUCUUUGAACAGCAUGACGAGCGCUU